UUUGUUUGUUUUUAAAGAAUAAGUAACUGCUGGAGAAGCUUGCUGUGGCCGUGAGAUCAUCUCUCAUGAUCAGAUACAUACACGUCACCACCUUUGGUGAAGGCUAACCGUGCCCCCUCUGUGAUCCCACAACAACCCACACACAACAGAAGAGGUGUAAGCGGGUAUGUUUGUGCUACAAACCCUCUCUUAAAACUUUGGGCCACAUUUCACUUUAACAGAUGCACCUGUUUAUUCAGAUCCAGUCCAUCUUUCUGUAUGUUUUUCUUGUUUGAAAUAAAUAACCCCACUUCCCGUUGUUUGAAGAUGUGCAGGUUAUGAAGAAUAAUCUUGAAUGGAUCACAAAGAAUACAAAUGACCCACUGUUGCAGCGUGACUCACAAUUAACACUUUGGUCUCUGAGUUUAUUAAAAUGAAUGGCUGUGGAUUGUAUAAACUGAGAUAUAAAUAUUUGAAGUAUGGAGCACUGUAUGUCUGAGACUCGGAGGAAUAUAUAGUAACGAAAAGAGAGCAUGUGAUAAGUCACGUUUAUUCGUCAUGGCUUUGAGCGAGAUUGACUUCCGGUUAUUUCGACUGAAGAGAGAGUUUGGACCAAAAGCCCCAAAUGAAAACAAUUGGGUAAAAUGUCUUUGAACACUGUUUCCAGGAAUUGGAGCCCUAACAAGGUGAUAAAAUGGUAUGAGUAAAGAUCCAGGAGAAGGUGGAAACCCGCAGAGAAAUGGUCAACCUUGGGUGCUGCCUCUGUCCUGGGGGUUUCUGCUGAUUCAGGAAGAGGAGGCCAGAAUCUGAGAAGCACUUUGGCCACCUUGGGAAGCGGGAGGUCAAGAGCAGGAAUCCAGGCCUGCCAAGUUUGGGUCUCCAUGAGUCCCUGAAGCAUUGAGUUGGGAGCCCAAUGGGUCACAGCCUAGAGGUCAGAAGAAAGAAAAAGUAACUCACUCCCACAUGGACCACCACUCAACUUCAAGUUCCCCAAGUGGCCCCAAGUAUGUCAAACACUGAAAUUGUAUUAAGGUGAUCCCAGUUUGAUGGUACCUCCAGGUACCUGGCUGAAAUAAAAGAAAGUCAUCUCUGGAGAAAGGUGACAUCCUACCAGCCCUCAAGCUACUUCUAAGCAACCCCUGAAAUACAAUGUUUGGCACCCUAUCUGAGAUAACCAGAAACAUGAGGGGACAACACACCAUAAAUUAGAAUGAGCAAAAACACCAGGCAAUCAAAAAAGGCACACAAGGGCUCUAGAGAAAAGAAUUUUCAAACACAAUCUCUAAAGUAAUUAUGCUUAUGGUGUUCAAGGUUUUAAAAGGCAAGGUUUAAAAUUCUUAACAGAAAACUGAAAACUUUAAAAAAGCAAGAACAGUUUGGGACAAAGUAAAAAUUCUAGAACUGGAACACAUUAAUCACACAAUGAGUGUGUUUUGCAGCAGGUUAGACCCAGCUGAAGAGAGAAUAUAUAAACUGGAAGAUAAGCCAAAGAAAAUAUGCAGAUGGAAGCAGGCAGAGAAAAAUGAUGGAAAAGACAAAGGAGGUACAAGACGAGGGGGAUACAAUGAAAGCACAGCAUUUCAGAAGGAAAGGAGAGAACGGACAGAGCAACAUUUGAAGAAAUAGAGGCUGAGGAGGAUCUUGGCUCUUUCGAGGAGUGCUGGCCAGUUAUUUAGUACAACGUCCUUCCAUGUGUGUUUUCCAGUGUUUCCUCGCGGUUGAGUUCAGGAGACACCGGCUGUCCGCGUGGGCUCCCCUUGGGCCCCCCUCGGAGGACCUGAUGCUUUACCACCUGCUCUGUGAAGCUCCAUCUGUACCGGGGGCCCUAUCCCCACUCGCAGGACUCACCCAGGCUCCCAGGCCCCUCUGGAGGGGAGACACGCCGUCUCCUGUUGGUCUGGAUGUCUCUAGGGAGUGUGUCUGUGAGAAGGUGGGCUCUAGGACGGGACACCUCCCUUGUCUGGGUGAUCGCCAGGCCUGCUUUAGGAGAGGGGAUUGGAGGACAUCCUGGGGGCUCCAUAAGGAGACGAGUGGGGUGUUAGGGAAGCUCACCCGGGCUCAGGGCAGGCACCUGAGAGCCAGAGCGUCAGGGAGCAGCCUGCAGGUGUCCCGUCUGGGGUCUGGGAACCUCCCGAUGCCGCCUGGAUGAGGCCGCAAGCCAACAUUUUCACCCGCUGCCUCACCACCUCUGCCCGCUCGCCUUUUACCCGGGUUUCCCCACUUCCCUGGGCCUCUGUGCUCAUCCUUGCUCUCUGGACGGGGGGCCCUGCACACAGGAAGGGGACGAAACAGGCCCAAAGGCGUCAGCCUGGAGGAAUCCAUCUUGUGGACUUUGCCAGCACCCUGGGAUCCGGCAGUUCCGGAAUUCGCUCUCUGUGCUUAGUCGUGAGUGGCUGUGUGACCAGGGAACACUUGUGUGUUUGCGCAGCGCCUUCCAUAAAAUGGAAAUAGUGGCCCCGUGUACCUUACAGGAGCCAUAGGAACCAAGUCUAGUAUGUUACAGCAUUGUAAAAUCACCGGAAAUUCCGAGUCGCAAUUCAAAUGCUCGCCGCUACGUGCCAUAGACUCGCACGAACCACCGUGAAACACCCAGAAAGUGCUAGUGAGGUCACAGAGCCUCCUCCCCGAUGGCUCCUGCCCCUCCCUUCCGCACGGCGGUCCCCAGGCUGGGGGCUGCUCUGCUCCCCUCCCUGGAGGGCCUGCACUGUGCUCUCUGACCGCUCUCACGGCAGGAGCCCCCCCCCCCCCAAGUCUGCCCCC